GGAUGAACGCUAGCGGCAGGCCUAAUACAUGCAAGUCGAACGGUCUUUAGCAAUAGAGAUAGUGGCGCACGGGUGCGUAACGCGUAACCAACCUACCUGAAUCUGGGGGAUAGCCCGCCGAAAGGCGGAUUAAUACCGCAUAAACCAACAGAACGGCAUCGUUUAAUUGGUAAAGAUUUAUUGGAUUCAGAUGGGGUUGCGUGCCAUUAGCUAGUUGGAGAGGUAACGGCUCACCAAGGCGACGAUGGCUAGGGGAGCUGAGAGGCUGGUCCCCCACACGGGCACUGAGAUACGGGCCCGACUCCUACGGGAGGCAGCAGUAGGGAAUAUUGGGCAAUGGGCGAGAGCCUGACCCAGCCAUGCCGCGUGCAGGAUGAAGGCUUUYUGAGUCGUAAACUGCUUUUAUCAGGGAAGAAAAAAGGGCGUGCGCGCUCUACUGACGGUAC
rnacentral:rRNA from 1 species